rnacentral:lncRNA from 1 species
AGGGGGCCGAAGCCUUGAGCCCAGAGUGAAAGCCAGAGGGAGCCCAGGGGGUGCAGGGCUUGAGCGCUCAGCUGACUGUGGCUGGAAAGGGCCUUUGCCAGGAACUUGAAGGCCAAGUCUCCGGAGGGGCUGCUGAGAGUUGGGGUGGGGGUGAGGACAGCCUCCACCUGGGAGCAGAACACACCCGAGGGCUCCUGGGCUCUCCCCCCACCCCCCUCCCUUGGCAGGGCCCCGGGAGAGUUCAGUGGCUUGGAGCCGGACUCCCCUGGGUUGGAAUGCGACAGCCUAGGGGGAGGUGAUCAGCAGCUGGCCUUCUGGGGUUAAUGUCUGUCCGCCUUCAUCUCCUUGGCGCACCUGCCGUUCUUUCAUUGGCCCCCCAGGAGUUUGCACCUUGACUCCAGAAAGUGAGUCUUGGGGACCUUUGGGGGUACUCGGGCCUCAGGUGGGGCCAGGGGCUGGGCUGCACUGGGCUCGCCUUUGUGUCCUCCUUCCUGGCGUUGAGGUGGGACCAACGCUAUCUUCCAUGGUCAAGGCCUUGGGCGCUGUGGCCGCUCUCAGGGAGAGUGUGUUUCUGAGCCCCCACCAGCUCAGAGAUGGGCUUAAACACACUUCAGAAGGAGAUGGAGGGACUUCCCAUCGUGGCUUAGUGGGAUCGAACCCACAACCUCAUGGUUCCUAGUCGGAUUCGUGAACCGCUGAGCCAUGACAGGAACUCCACUACAUUUUUGAUUAUUAAAAAAAAAUGUUUUUCUAGGUAGAUUUUGGUCCAGUGAGCACUUGGUGGGGGGGCUUGAGCACAACAUGUUCCAUCCUAGGAGAUUAGGAAAUGACCUGAUUACUGUAUCUGGCGGCUGCAAGUCUGCAGACUUGGCGCUGGGAGAAGCCACUCUUUCUCUUGGUGACCUUGCCUCCGAUUAAGUCAAGUGGGACGUGUCCAGCGACCGUGCUUGAUCGAGACCAGGGAGACAGCCUGAGGCUGCUGGGGCCCAAGCACCGCGGGGGCACAGGGGGCUGUGGGGCGGGGCCUGGCAGAGCUGUGGUGUCCAAGUCCAGGACGCCAGGCCCUCGGUGGCCCAGGAAGCCGUGCCCGUGGGGGGUGUGGAUGCCGGGGCCCCGCGGACACCAGCCCGGCGCCCGGUGGAGAUGGAGUCGGCCUGCAGUCUUCUCCUCUGGGCCUGCGUCUAGUGCGGCAUCAUCACUGCUUCUAGAUGCGGAGGGCCCCCCCGGGAGGGGGAGGGAAGGGGCCGAAAGGUCAGGUUAUGGCCCCUCCCACUCCUCGCAGCCCCACCCCCACAGCCCAGGCCCUCAGCGUCCACCCCUGAUUCCCAUCCUGGCCCUGCUCUCAAGGACGUCCCUUCUCGGCUCCUCGAUGCCAGGAGAUGCGCUGUUAGUGCCCUUUAAACGCCUGCUGUUGCCCCGAGGUGGGGGUGGGGUGGGUACCAAGGGCUCCCUUCCUGGGAAAGUCACGUAUUGAUCAGCUUUCCAGCUUUAGCACCCCACCCCCGACUCUUGCUCGGUUUGCCCAGCCAAAAAAAAAAAAAAAAAA